AAGAUCUACUCUGCUCGCGCUAUAUAAAUCCCGGGAAAUAAAGGCACGGGCAUUAGUCUUCCGCAGAAAGACAGCUCACAGAAAACCGCAACAAUGUUCAAGCUGGUUCUCCUCGUCCUGGCGCUGAUCGCAGUGGCCGCGGCCCAGUAUCCGUACUACGCCGGAUACUAUGGCAACGGAUACUACGGCACAUAUGCCAGUCCGUAUGCCUACUCCGGUCUUGGCUACGGCUUCUACGGCCGUUAAGCGGUGAAUGUGACUACAGCUGAACGAACGUAACAGCUCAUGAAGGUUGGGUCGAGACUGCUCCGUCUGCCUUCAUAAGGUUCCAUUUCUCAGAAGUUGGCAUGUACCUCUUUAAAUUAAUAAACCUUUCGAAUUUGCUUUAAAA